CUCCUGAAGGAACGUUGAAGACGACGACGUUGAUAGGUCGGGUGUGUAAGCGCAGCGAUGCGUUGAGCUAACCGAUACUAAUGAACCGUGAGGCUUAACCUUACAACGCCGAAG
rnacentral:rRNA from 1 species